AACGAACGCUGGCGGCAUGCCUAACACAUGCAAGUCGAACGAGACCUUCGGGUCUAGUGGCGCACGGGUGCGUAACGCGUGGGAACCUGCCCUUAGGUUCGGAAUAACUCCCCGAAAGGGGUGCUAAUACCGGAUAAUGUCUUCGGACCAAAGAUUUAUCGCCUUUGGAUGGGCCCGCGUUGGAUUAGCUAGUUGGUAGGGUAAAAGCCUACCAAGGCGACGAUCCAUAGCUGGUCUGAGAGGAUGAUCAGCCACACUGGGACUGAGACACGGCCCAGACUCCCAAGGGAGGGAGACGUGGGGGAUAUUAGACAAUGGGGGCAAACCUGAACCCGCCAUGGCGGGGGGGUGAAGAAGGGCUUAGGGUUGGAAAACCCUUUUAACCGGGAAGAUAAAGACAGGACCCGGGGAAAAAGGCCCGGGUAAAUCCGUG
rnacentral:rRNA from 1 species